rnacentral:rRNA from 1 species
CGAGGGGCAUCACAUGAAGUAGCAAUACGGAUGGUGGCGACCGGCGCACGGGUGAGUAACACGUAUGCAACCUGCCUUCAACAAGGGGAUAACCCGUUGAAAGACGGACUAAUACCCUAUAACACAGGGGUCCCGCAUGGGAAUAUUUGUUAAAGGACAACCGGUUGAAGAUGGGCAUGCGUUCCAUUAGCUAGUUGGCGGGGUAACGGCCCACCAAGGCAACGAUGGAUAGGGGAACUGAGAGGUUUAUCCCCCACACUGGUACUGAGACACGGACCAGACUCCUACGGGAGGCAGCAGUGAGGAAUAUUGGUCAAUGGACGCAAGUCUGAACCAGCCACGUCGCGUGAAGGAAGACGGCCCUACGGGUUGUAAACUUCUUUUAUACGGGAAUAAAGUGCCCCACGCGUGGGGUUUUGCAUGUACCGUAUGAAUAAGGAUCGGCUAACUCCGUGCCAGCAGCCGCGGUAAUACGGAGGAUCCGAGCGUUAUCCGGAUUUAUUGGGUUUAAAGGGUGCUCAGGCGGGGGAUUAAGUCGGCGGUGAAAUUUUGCAGCUCAACUGUAAAAGUGCCUUCGAAACUGGUUUCCUUGAGUGUGGAUGAGGUAGGCGGAAUUUGUGGUGUAGCGGUGAAAUGCAUAGAUAUCACGAGGAACUCCG